CAGAGCGGGGCCGGAAGUUGUCGGAAGAGGAAGUGAUAUCAUCGGUCUGGACGCCAACCGCGUUUGCAGAGGAAUCGUCCAGGAGCCCUAGCUGGACAGGAAUAUGGCAGAAGUGGACUUGAGCAGCCUGGACAUCCUUCUAAGGAGACAUGAAUAGUUCUCGUGUUUCUGCCUUCCACAUUACUGGCUGGUUUAGUAGCAAGGGAAAAGAAGUCAUGCGUCAGUCUACUGCCCUCAUGCGAUGGAAAGGGAGCGAGAGCGACGAGACUGCGAGUGUUGUUGAUGCAACACAAAAGCCGUCCAUCUGAGAGCGGAAGCGCCGCCACUUUCAGUGAGAUAAGUGUCUGGUUGGUGAGGGCUCUGCUCAUGGCCCGUUUUGCUCUUGGUAGGGACACCCCGUUAGCUAGGGCUGGGUUGGAAGAAAAGGUUCCUGACUAGUUGUGGUUUUGAGGGAGACAAGAUCCCCAUUUCCAGGGGCUGCUCAUUUCUCUGGCCAGAACCGAUGUGUCCUCUGCAGCAGGUUAGAUCCAGGAGGAUGACUCCAGGUGGUGAGUUGCUUGCCUUCCUCCCACCUUUUUUUCUCUCUCUCUUUCUAGUACGUUGGCCAACAUACACCCUCUAACUCUUUGUCUGUUCUUGCCUUUCCUUGUGCUGUCUUCCUUCAUAGGACACAGGCAGGGGUGCUAGGUGUGCAACCCCACAGGUUAGGUCUCGGGAGCCAUGGAGAAGUAGGAGCAGAUGAAAAUCAUGUGGCAGUUGGCUCUAAAGUGGAGCGAUGACUGUCGGUGUUAACUCGGUCUCUGUUCAUCAAGUAGGGCCAAUGUGGAUGGGAUGGGAGAGGGAGGUCAGGAUGAGACCAAGAUUUCAAGCACCAACAGAGCUUUGGGUAGUGAUGGCUCAUGCUUGUCUUUUGCAGCUGCGCUUGCAGAGGAAUUGUCCAGGAGUCCCAGCCGGAGGAGAAACUGGCAAACGUAGACCCGAUCAGCUUGGACAUUCUCCGAAGCAGAAAUGAACAGUCCUCAGCUUUCUGCCUUCUGCUUAAAAGGCUGCAGGGAAACACCCACACCCUAGUUAGAGGGAGCUCAUCUUCGACCUUGGCAUGAAGAGGGCCAAAGCAGAGAGGAGGAUUAAGCCUGUGCGGAGAAGUGUCGAUCCCGAGCCCCCUUACAGCCGCCCCUUCGCCACACCAUGUUCCAUCUGACCGGGAUAGGUCCCAAAGCGCAGGAGAGCUUGCGGCAGAAGGCGGGUCCAGGUGGAUGCAGAGGACGCGAGCUCUGACUUGGCUGAGUGCGUGAGUGAGGAGGGCACGGGACAGCUAGUAGGACAAACCCUGAGCCCUCUCAAGAGGCUGGUUUCUAGAACUACCUUCCAAAUGGCAGUGUUACCUUGUGAAAGGCAGGGAAAGACCCAAACCCUAGUUAGGGGGAGCUCACUUUGGACCUUGGCGUGAAGAGGGCCAAUGCAGAGAGGA